GAUGAAGAACGUAGCGAAAUGCGAUACUUGGUGUGAAUUGCAGAAUCCCGUGAACCAUCGAGUCUUUGAACGCAAGUUGCGCCCGAAGCCAUUAGGCCGAGGGCACGCCUGCCUGGGCGUCACACGUCGUUGCCCCCCCAUCUACUCCUUCGGGAUUGCGGGGGGCGGAUGAUGGCCUCCCGUGCGCCUCGUCGCGCGGUUGGCAUAAAUGCCAAGCCCUCGGCGACGCACGCCACGACAAUCGGUGGUUGCGAAACCUCGGUUGCCCGUCGUGUGCGGUCGUCGCGCAUCGAGGGCUCGAAAAAAUUGCCGGGUUCCGGCUCGGCUUUCAACGCGACCCCAGGUCAGGCGGGGUUACCCGCUGAAUUUAAGCAUAUCAAUAAGCGGAGGA
rnacentral:misc_RNA from 1 species